AACGAACGCUGGCGGCAGGCCUAACACAUGCAAGUCGAACGCUCCGCAAGGGGAGUGGCGCACGGGUGAGUAACACGUGGGAACCUACCUUCUGGUACGGAACAACCAAGGGAAACUUUGGCUAAGACCGUAUACGACCUCCGGGUGAAAGAUUGAUCGCCGGAAGAGGGGCCCGCGUCCGAUUAGGUAGUUGGUGAGGUAACGGUUCACCAAGCCUUCGAUCGGUAGCUGGUCUGAGAGGAUGACCAGCCACACUGGGACUGAGACACGGCCCAGACUCCUACGGGAGGCAGCAGUGGGGAAUAUUGGACAAUGGGCGCAAGCCUGAUCCAGCCAUGCCGCGUGAGUGAUGAAGGCCU
rnacentral:rRNA from 1 species